rnacentral:rRNA from 1 species
GUAAUCAAAAGUCUAUUAAUUGUAGACCUGUAUGAAAGAAUACACCUAUAAGAGCUUUCUUUUGAAGAAUAUGUGAAUUUAACGAACGAUAAAAAUUAGUUUAGGGCUCACAAGACGAGAAGACCCUGGAAAUUUUCUUUUAAAAGUUUUUUGGGGAAAAUAGAUAAACAUAAUUUUAUAGACUUAACAUAGACAAACAAUUAAAAAAUAAAUUACUCCAGGGAUAACAGAACAAUGAAUUUUUAGAGACCCUAUCUAAAAAUUAGCUUGUGACCUCGAUGUUGGAUUCCUUUGUCUAUCAGUUGCAGAAGAUUGAAAAGAAUAGACUGUUCGUUUAUUAAAAAAGG